rnacentral:tRNA from 1 species
CGGGGCGGGCGCCGGAGGCGUGUCAGCGGUCGACCGGCAGGCUCAGUUGGUGAAGAUGUUGCCCUGGUUCUGUCCCCGGGCGCCCUGC